rnacentral:rRNA from 1 species
GAUGAACGCUGGCGGCGUGCUUAACACAUGCAAGUCGAACGGUGAAACAGGAGCUUGCUCCUGCGGAUCAGUGGCGAACGGGUGAGUAACACGUGAGCAAUCUGCCCUGGACUCCGGGAUAAGCGUUGGAAACGACGUCUAAUACCGGAUACGAGCUGCGAAGGCAUCUUCAGCAGCUGGAAAGAAUUUCGGUCCAGGAUGAGCUCGCGGCCUAUCAGCUAGUUGGUGAGGUAACGGCCCACCAAGGCGACGACGGGUAGCCGGCCUGAGAGGGUGACCGGCCACACUGGGACUGGUACACGGCCCAGACUCCUACGGGAGGCAGCAGUGGGGAAUAUUGCACAAUGAGCGCAAGCCUGAUGCAGCAACGCCGCGUGAGGGACGACGGCCUUCGGGUUGUAAACCUCUUUUAGUAGGGAAGAAGCGAAAGUGACGGUACCUGCAGAAAAAGCACCGGCUAACUACGUGCCAGCCGCCGCAGUAACAC